rnacentral:rRNA from 1 species
UGGGGAAUUUUGGACAAUGGGCGAAAGCCUGAUCCAGCAAUGCCGCGUGUGUGAAGAAGGCCUUCGGGUUGUAAAGCACUUUUGUCCGGAAAGAAAUCCUUGGCUCUAAUACAGUCGGGGGAUGACGGUACCGGAAGAAUAAGCACCGGCUAACUACGUGCCAGCAGCCGCGGUAAUACGUAGGGUGCAAGCGUUAAUCGGAAUUACUGGGCGUAAAGCGUGCGCAGGCGGUUUGCUAAGACCGAUGUGAAAUCCCCGGGCUCAACCUGGGAACUGCAUUGGUGACUGGCAGGCUAGAGUAUGGCAGAGGGGGGUAGAAUUCCACGUGUANCAGUGAAAUGCGUAGAGAUGUGGAGGAAUACCGAUGGCGAAGGCAGCCCCCUGGGCCAAUACUGACGCUCAUGCACGAAAGCGUGGGGAGCAAAACAGGAUUAGAUACCCUGGUAGUCCACGCCCUAAACGAUGUCAACUAGUUGUUGGGGAUUCAUUCUUAGUAACGUAGCUAACGCGUGAAGUUGACCGCCUGGGGAGUACGGUCGCAAGAUUAAAACUCAAAUGAAUUGACGGGGUCAUAGCUGUUUCCU